rnacentral:rRNA from 1 species
UACGUAGGGAGCAAGCGUUGUCCGGAAUCAUUGGGCGUAAAGCGCGUGUAGGCGGCUUUGCAAGUCGGGUGUGAAAGCCCUCGGCUCAACCGAGGAAGUGCGCCCGAAACUGCAGAGCUUGAGUACCGGAGAGGAUGGCGGAAUUCCCCAAGUAGAGGUGAAAUUCGUAGAUAUGGGGAGGAACACCGGUGGCGAAGGCGGCCAUCUGGACGGAUACUGACGCUGAGACGCGAAAGCGUGGGGAGCAAACAGG